UACGUAGGGUGCAAGCGUUAAUCGGAAUUACUGGGCGUAAAGCGUGCGCAGGCGGUUCGCUAAGACAGAUGUGAAAUCCCCGGGCUUAACCUGGGAACUGCAUUUGUGACUGGCGGGCUAGAGUAUGGCAGAGGGGGGUAGAAUUCCACGUGUAGCAGUGAAAUGCGUAGAGAUGUGGAGGAAUACCGAUGGCGAAGGCAGCCCCCUGGGCCAAUACUGACGCUCAUGCACGGAAAGCGUGGGGAGCAAACAGG
rnacentral:rRNA from 1 species